AGUGGUCUGACCAAUGCUUCUCCUCCUCUGGCAAGGAAGCAGUGGGGAGGAACCAUGGAACAUUCCCCAAAAAGGAUGUAGUUAAUGAUACACCCACAUACAGUGCAAGAAUAGAAUAAGGGAGGAGUAAUCUGCUGUCACAGAUCGAGAAACUUAAAUCAUCAGUGAGAGAAGACCUGAAUAAAAAUAACACCUUUUACAAGAGGAGGAUAGAAGAAUUGGGGCAGAGGCUUCAGGAGCAGAAUGAUCUGAUUAUAACUCAAAAGAAGCAGAUAAAAGAAUUGUCCACAAGAUCAGUUGCAAACAUUAAACCAUAUGACGUGAACACUAUUGUAGAGCGUCUUGAAGAACCUAAACCAAGUCUACCAGUGAUGCACGGUCUCUCUGUCUGUCCCCUUUCUUCCCUUCUGGAUUUUUUUUAAACUUACCCCACCUAAUUUCUGGAUGUAAAGGUUAGCAGAAAUUGUAGUGUCUUUCCCAAAAUUUUCAUGGCUUCUCAAGGGAUUGACUUACGUACUCAAUUAAGACAUCAUGGCUGCAUCUUGUGCCAUUAUGAAAAUGAAAGCACUUGCUGGUAGCUUCUGUAGACAUUUAUUUAGCACAGAGCAUCUCUGAAAUCACAAGGGCUAUAGUUUUCCUACCAAGCAAUUGCCUGCAUAUGGAAUAUCUACCUUUUCUUUCUUUUUGUUUUUUCCAUUUGCAAGAAAAUUAAUUCUGGAAAAGGUUCUCUUAUGUGAACUUAAGCACGCUUUCCAAAGUUGCCUGGAAGCUUUUGCAUCCUAAGAUUAAUUCUGCACAUCUUAAAUCUGCACUAUGAAAAGAUACCCAAACUACAAAUGAGGUAUCUUAGGUAUAAAGUAGUGGGAUAACUGUUUUAGCCUGGUGCUUUUGUGUUCAUGUUCCUGAUUUCUUGAGAGAGCUCACAGUCUGCCUUCAAUGCCAUCCUGGCUGACCAUUCUUCUCUCAGUUUCUGAGCUAGCUGUAGGGUUUUGUGCAGAUAUAACUGUCUUAUCUUUGAAGAUAACUUAUGUCUCACAACAAGGCAAUGGAUUAAUUAUGAUUUUUUAAAAUCAUGUUUUAAAAUUGGACUUUGGCUCCUAUAUUACUCUUGAAAUGUUGAUACUUGGUCAAUAUUCAAUCUUUGUUAGGUCAAGAACACUAGGUGAAAAUGAAGACAGUAGUUAAAAAGCAAAGAUAUUAAUUACAUUGUCCAUUAAAACCUAUGACUUAGUCUUCAAACAUGGUGUGGACUAAGGCCCAGCUAUCAUUAGGGACAUAACUGAAGCAUCUGAGGAAAAUUUAGUCCAAGUAGUCUUCCUAGCCAGUUAACAGAGAAAAGGGACACCUUAGAGUUUGGUUCAUCCAAACUUACAUCUGAAUUGCUCUUUGAAGUUGUCUGUGUCUCUUCGUUGAAUGUAGGAGUCUGAGCUGACAAGGCUCCUAACUUAGAUGCCUCAGGUAAGUGUCAAAAAUUUAUCAUAUUUAAGAAUAUUGGUUUAAAAAUAAUAUUUAUACUGCUUUUGUGCAGUAUAUGGCUUCCCAUUGAUUAGUUAAGAGAAAAAUGUAUGAAGUGCAUGAAUUCAAAGAUGACAGUCAAAACUACAAGUAUUACAGGUUAAGUAUGGCAGGUCUUUGGAUGUGAAAUUUGAUUAUAAAUUAAAGGAGUAGAUAAUAACUAUAACCAUGGCUUAUAUUCCUUACAUCUUGAAGAAGUGCAGCAAUUUAGAUCAAACAAAUUUUACAUUUCAUCCUUGGUUUUCAUAUUGCAAAGUGCUUACAGUAGGCAAUACUCCACUACUGAUAAUUGUAGCAGUUCUGUUCAGGCAAAAAGUACUUUAGCAUUUCAUAUUUCAGAGUAAAUAGACAGGAUUUAUCCUUUAAAUAUUGGCCAGAAGACUACUUUUCCAAUAGUGCUGUCAGAAUAUUGGGUUUCUGUUAAACUAGUAGAUAAGAAGAGACAAAUAAUAUAUUAUAUGCUUGAAAUAUACACAGUGUGAUUCUUCAUUAUUGUUAGACAUAUUUUCCUAUUCCACCUGCAUAGAAAUUGUCUUAUUUAAAACUGGUAUUUUGUGACUUUUCAAAGUAUGCACACGCAUAAAUUUUAAGUAGUGUAAUUAUCCACUGAAGAAAUUAAGGCUUCCCCUACUUCUGAUACAUUUUGUCUAUCUCUCCAAGCAUAGUACCUGUCAAAAAAGGUAUUCUGGAAGAUGUGGGAUGACAGACAGAUCAUUGUGGAGGUCAUCUUAAGGUUGCUGUCCUUAAUGAUGGCUAGUAAUAUGGCUGGCUUCAGGCCAGUGAGAUAUGAAUAUGACCAGCCUGCAUUAAGACUGGUGGUGGACACCUCCAUUUAGCCAGGUUCAAGCCUGAGGCUGACAGGAACCAUUCUUCUGAGGAUAAUGGUAGGGUUAGGUUUGGAACUGAGGCUGGCUGAUGACAUGCAGUGAGGAUGCGUCCAGAAUUUGCCACUGGACUAGGUGUAGGAUUUAGCCAUGGUACUGUUUGGUUAAGGUCAGGCGUGGGACUGUUGGGGAGGACACAAUGAAUUAGGUUUGGAGUCAAGGUGGUUCAUGCUAGCAGCAGAAGUUGAUUUACAGUGGGGCCUGCAAAGGUGUCACCCAGAGACAUGGUUAUUGCCAAGUUUUACAGGGAUCACUGACCUUGGGUUAGGGUUAGGAUUAGGCUUAGGCAGACAUUGAUUGGCAAAUGAGAGUUAUGGUUGAGUUAAGAAGGAUCAAUUAAGCAACAUAGAAGCAGCAGAGCCUGUCUGAAUAGCUUUAAGUAUGAAGCUGAAAUCUAUCUCUACUUCAUAGCCAAAAAAAGGGUGGGGAUGAGAGCCAGGGUUCAAAUUGUGUCAAUGAACAAUGAGGUUCCAUCUGAACCAUCAAGACUGAUGUAAUCACCAGUUCUACCAGUACUCUGAUAGUCCAAAGCAGGUGAUCUGCUGGAGCCCAACGUGCCUACCGCCUUGCUUCAGCCUGCCGGGAUCCACUUCCAGUCAGGCAACAACACAGUUUGGAUAUUCAUCAGGAGUAGAGAACAGAGAAGUGACUAAUAGCAAGUAAUUCCUAUCUAGGUGUGAGUCCAAAAGGGAAGAUAGCAGUCUGUCUAGGUUCAACAAUGUGGCUACAACGAAAGCUAGGAGUAGAAGAUGUUGAUGUAGAGCAGUGUCCACUCAGGGUCAGCUGAACUAGCUUUAGGGCUGAUAGCUGAGAGGAAGAUAACUGGCUCUGCUUAAGUCAGAAGCUGCAGUGAUUACUUGUUUAAGGCUAACGUUGGAUUGAAGCUUGGUGAGAUGAUGGGCAAAAACUAGAACUAGAAAAGGUUACAGUAUUUCAGUGUCAUUGGGGUUUCAGUCUGCAGCAGCAGCAUUGUUUUAGAUCUGAAGUUAGCAAAGACUGCUUUGUACAGAUAUGGCAUCUAGUUGGGUAGUCAGAUUUGAAUGAUUCCUAAAAAUAAGCUUGGUAGUAUUUAAAUGCUGAUGAUUUUGAGGAUGUGCACAAAGGUAAGAACUGAGCGGUCUGAUCGGAUGUCUAGAAGAAGAACCUGUCUGGGAAACAUAAGGA